rnacentral:rRNA from 1 species
GAUGAACGCUGGCGGCGUGCCUAAUACAUGCAAGUCGAGCGAACAGACGAGGAGCUUGCUCCUCUGACGUUAGCGGCGGACGGGUGAGUAACACGUGGAUAACCUACCUAUAAGACUGGGAUAACUUCGGGAAACCGGAGCUAAUACCGGAUAAUAUAUUGAACCGCAUGGUUCAAUAGUGAAAGACGGUUUUGCUGUCACUUAUAGAUGGAUCCGCGCCGCAUUAGCUAGUUGGUAAGGUAACGGCUUACCAAGGCAACGAUGCGUAGCCGACCUGAGAGGGUGGUCGGCCACACUGGAACUGAGACACGGUCCAGACUCCUACGGGAGGCAGCAGUAGGGAAUCUUCCGCAAUGGGCGAAAGCCUGACGGAGCAACGCCGCGUGAGUGAUGAAGGUCUUCGGAUCGUAAAACUCUGUUAUUAGGGAAGAACAAAUGUGUAAGCAACUAUGCACGUCUUGACGGUACCUAAUCAGAAAGCCACGGCUAACUACGUG